rnacentral:lncRNA from 1 species
CCCCUUCUUCAGAAUGAGAGGAGAAGGCUCUCUUUGGAUCUGGUCAUAACCCCCAGUCCUCAGACCAAGGCAUAUUGAGGACAAUCCUGUUCCUCAGGCAUCUCAGCUGUUAUCUAAUUCAUUGGGAGCAGCUAGAUGGCUCAGCAGAUGGACAGGUAUAGAGAUUUUGAUUGGGGAAUUCCAUUAAACAAACUGAGCUGAACCUUUGUUUGAGACUCAUUCUGUCUUUCCAUUUAAGGUAUGGAUAAUCCAACUGACUUGGG